rnacentral:rRNA from 1 species
ACAGCAGUCGCCACGGGAAUACGGAGGGAGCUAGCGUUGUUCGGAAUUACUGGGCGUAAAGCGCACGUAGGCGGCUUUGUAAGUUAGAGGUGAAAGCCUGGAGCUCAACUCCAGAACUGCCUUUAAGACUGCAUCGCUUGAAUCCAGGAGAGGUGGGUGGAAUUCCGAGUGUAGAGGUGAAAUUCGUAGAUAUUUGGAAGAACACCAGUGGCGAAGGCGGCUCACUGGACUGGUAUUGACGCUGAGGUGCGAAAGCGUGGGGAGCAAACAGGAUUAGAUACCCCCGUAGUCCCUGUCUCUUAUAC